rnacentral:lncRNA from 1 species
GGGUAGUUUUCUUGGAUCGGCUACCGUCGUGGGUGGUGUGCGGUGUAGUUUGGGCACAGGCUGGACUGGCUAGUUGGCGAUCCGUUGAGAUUGGGUCAGUGUGAUUGAUUUGUAGCUAGUGAUGUAUUUUUUAUGUCUAUAGAGAGUAUGAUUUGGAUAGUGGUAGUAUAGUGGCAUAUAGCUGUAGAGUUUCCUCCAGCUCAUUUUACUAUCCUUUACCUAUAAGUUUCAUACUUGUU